AUUGAACGCUGGCGGCAGGCCUAACACAUGCAAGUCGAGCGAGCGGCGGACGGGUGAGUAAUGUAUGGGGACUGCCCGAUAGAGGGGGAUAACUACUGGAAACGGUGGCUAAUACCGCAUACUAUCGGAUAACCCAUAUGGGAUGAGCUAGUAGGUGGGGUAAAGGCUCACCUAGGCGACGAGCUCUAGCUGGUCUGAGAGGAUGAUCAGCCACGCUGGGACUGAGCAACGGCCCAGACUCCGACGGUGGGAGCCGGGGGGAAUAUUGCAACAGGGGGGCAAGGCUGAUGCCGCCAUGCCGCGUGUAUGAAGAAGGCCGUAGGGUUGUAAAGUACGUUCAGCGGGUAGGCGUUACCCGCAGAAGAAGCACCGGCUAACUCCGUGCCAGCCGCCGCGGUAAUUC
rnacentral:rRNA from 1 species